UACGUAGGGGGCAAGCGUUGUCCGGAAUCAUUGGGCGUAAAGAGCGUGUAGGCGGCCUGAUAAGUCCGGUGUGAAAGUCGAGGGCUCAACCCUCGAAUGCCGGUGGAUACUGUCGGGCUUGAGUACGGGAGAGGCGAGUGGAAUUCCAGGUGUAGCGGUGAAAUGCGUAGAUAUCUGGAGGAACACCGGUGGCGAAGGCGACGCCUGGACCGGCAUUGACGCUGAGGCGCGAAAGCCAGGGGAGCAAACGGGG
rnacentral:rRNA from 1 species